GAAAUGCGAUAAGUAAUGUGAAUUGCAGAAUUCAGUGAAUCAUCGAAUCUUUGAACGCACAUUGCGCCCGUUAGCAUUCUAGCGGGCAUGUCUGUCCGAGCGUCAUUUCAACCCUCAGGGCCCCCCGUUCCGGCGGGCGGACCUGGCGUUGGGGAUCGGCCCGCCCCGUGCGGCGCCGUCCCCCAAAUACAGUGGCGGUCCCGCCGCAGCCUCCCCUGCGUAGUAGUUUACAACCUCGCAUCGGAGCGCGGCGCGGCCACGCCGUAAAACCCCCGACUUUCUGAACGUUGACCUCGGAUCAGGUAGGAAUACCCGCUGAACUUAAGC
rnacentral:misc_RNA from 1 species